UACGUAGGGUGCAAGCGUUGUCCGGAAUUAUUGGGCGUAAAGAGCUCGUAGGCGGUCUGUUGCGUCGGCUGUGAAAACCCGGGGCUCAACUCCGGGCCUGCAGCCGAUACGGGCAGACUAGAGUUCGGCAGGGGAGACUGGAAUUCCUGGUGUAGCGGUGAAAUGCGCAGAUAUCGGGAAGAACACCCGUGGCGAAGGCGGUUCUCUGGGACGGUACUGACGCUGAGAGCGAAAGCGUGGGGAGCGAACAGGG
rnacentral:rRNA from 1 species